AUUGAACGCUGGCGGCAUGCUUUACACAUGCAAGUCGAACGGUAACAGGUCUUCGGGUGCUGACGAGUGGCGAACGGGUGAGUAAUACAUCGGAACGUGCCUAGUAGUGGGGGAUAACUACUCGAAAGAGUAGCUAAUACCGCAUGAGAUCUACGGAUGAAAGCAGGGGACCUUCGGGCCUUGUGCUACUAGAGCGGCUGAUGGCAGAUUAGGUAGUUGGUGGGGUAAAGGCUUACCAAGCCUGCGAUCUGUAGCUGGUCUGAGAGGACGACCAGCCACACUGGGACUGAGACACGGCCCAGACUCCUACGGGAGGCAGCAGUGGGGAAUUUUGGACAAUGGGCGAAAGCCUGAUCCAGCAAUGCCGCGUGCAGGAUGAAGGCCCUCGGGUUGUAAACUGCUUUUGUACGGAACGAAAAGCCUGGGGCUAAUAUCCCCGGGUCAUGACGGUACCGUAAGAAUAAGCACCGGCUAACUACGUG
rnacentral:rRNA from 1 species